AGAGUUUGAUCCUGGCUCAGAUUGAACGCUGGCGGCAUGCCUUACACAUGCAAGUCGAACGGCAGCACGGAGCUUGCUCUGGUGGCGAGUGGCGAACGGGUGAGCAAUAUAUCGGAACGUACCCUAGAGUGGGGGAUAACGUAGCGAAAGUUACGCUAAUACCGCAUACGAUCUAAGGAUGAAAGUGGGGGAUCGCAAGACCUCAUGCUCGUGGAGCGGCCGAUAUCUGAUUAGCUAGUUGGUAGGGUAAAAGCCUACCAAGGCAUCGAUCAGUAGCUGGUCUGAGAGGACGACCAGCCACACUGGAACUGAGACACGGUCCAGACUCCUACGGGAGGCAGCAGUGGGGAAUUUUGGACAAUGGGCGAAAGCCUGAUCCAGCAAUGCCGCGUGAGUGAAGAAGGCCUUCGGGUUGUAAAGCUCUUUUGUCAGGGAAGAAACGGUGAGAGCUAAUAUCUCUUGCUAAUGACGGUACCUGAAGAAUAAGCACCGGCUAACUACGUGCCAGCAGCCGCGGUAAUACGUAGGGUGCA
rnacentral:rRNA from 1 species